rnacentral:rRNA from 1 species
CAGUCGCCACGGGAAUACGGAGGGAGCUAGCGUUGUUCGGAAUUACUGGGCGUAAAGCGCACGUAGGCGGCUACUCAAGUCGGGGGUGAAAGCCCGGGGCUCAACCCCGGAACUGCCCUCGAAACUAGGUAGCUAGAAUCUUGGAGAGGUCAGUGGAAUUCCGAGUGUAGAGGUGAAAUUCGUAGAUAUUCGGAAGAACACCAGUGGCGAAGGCGACUGACUGGACAAGUAUUGACGCUGAGGCACGAAAGCGUGGGGAGCAAACAGGAUUAGAUACCCCCGUAGUCCCUGUCUCUUAUAA